GGAUAACACUUAGAAAUAGGUGCUAAUACCGCAUAAGCGCACAGCUUCGCAUGAAGUGGUGUGAAAAACUCUGGUGGUAUACGAUGGUUCCGCGUCUGAUUAGCUUGUUGGUGGGGUAAUGGCUCACCAAGGCGACGAUCAGUAGCCGGCCUGAGAGGGUGAACGGCCACAUUGGGACUGAGACACGGCCCAAACUCCUACGGGAGGCAGCAGUGGGGAAUAUUGCACAAUGGGGGAAACCCUGAUGCAGCGACGCCGCGUGAGUGAAGAAGUAUUUCGGUAUGUAAAGCUCUAUCAGCAGGGAAGAAAAUGACGGUACCUGAUUAAGAAGCCCCGGCUAACUACGUGCCAGCAGCCGCGGUAAUACGUAGGGGGCAAGCGUUAUCCGGAUUUACUGGGUGUAAAGGGAGCGUAGACGGCAGCGCAAGUCUGAAGUGAAAUGCCGGGGCUUAACCCCGGAACUGCUUUGGAAACUGUGCAGCUAGAGUGCAGGAGAGGUAAGUGGAAUUCCUAGUGUAGCGGUGAAAUGCGUAGAUAUUAGGAGGAACACCAGUGGCGAAGGCGGCUUGCUGGACUGUAACUGACGUUGAGGCUCGAAAGCGUGGGGAGCAAACAGGAUUAGAUACCCUGGUAGUCCACGCUGUAAACGAUGAUUAAUAGGUGUUGGGGGACCAAGGUCCUUCGGU
rnacentral:rRNA from 1 species